CGAACGCUGGCGGCGUGCCUUAUACAUGCAAGUCGAACGCGAACGAAACCUUCGGGUUUUUAGUAGAGUGGCGAACGGGUGAGUAACACGUGAGCAACCUACCUUGGAGUGGGGGAUAACCUUCCUAACGGGGGGCUAAUACCGCAUAUGGCGAUAGUGGGGUAUCCCACAGUCGUGAAAGCCUACGGGCGCUCCUUGAUGGGCUCGCGUCCUAUUAGGUAGUUGGUGAGGUAACGGCUCACCAAGCUUACGAUGGGUAGCCGGCCUGAGAGGGUGAUCGGCCACACUGGGACUGAGAUACGGCCCAGACUCCUACGGGAGGCAGCAGUAGGGAAUAUUGCGCAAUGGGCGAAAGCCUGACGCAGCAACGCCGCGUGGAGGAUGAAGUCUUUAGGGGCGUAAACUCCUUUCAGGGGGGAAGAAACCUGCUUAGCAGCUGACGGUACCCCCAGAAGAAGCUCCGGCUAACUCC
rnacentral:rRNA from 1 species